rnacentral:rRNA from 1 species
GGUCAAGGUGCGAAUAAGGGUAGAUGGUGGAUGCCUCGACACGGCAAGACGAUGAAGGACGUAGCAGCCUGCGAUAAGCUUCGGGGAGGUGGCAAGCAACCGUUGAUCCGGAGAUCUCCGAAUGGGGUAACCCGGUCCUGUGAAGCAGGAUCAUUCCGGCAUGAAUUUAUAGUGUCGGAAAGACAACCUGGCGAAGUGAAACAUCUCAGUAGCCAGAGGAAAAGAGAACAACAUUAUCGCAAUUUUUCGCGGUCAGCUUUCGGCGUUCCAGCCUUCGGGUUGAACGCCUGGGGGCUGAUUGCGUGGAUUGCGCGAUUCCCCUAGUAGUGGCGAGCGAACGGGGAGCAGUCUAAACCGUCGCAACUUUACCGUUGGCGUGUCCCGCAAGGGGCGCGUCGGCGGCAUAACGGAUGUCAGUCCACAUGUUGCGAUGGCGUAGCAAGAUAUUGGCGGUUGAGCGCUGACAUGCUCUGGUAGGGUGACCCGAUCCGUCGGUAUAACUUCCCUAGGUGAACUCCCCUGGAACGGGGGGCCAUAGACGGUGAGAGCCCGGUAAGCGAAAGGGGUUAUAACUCUACGGCUAGUAUUCUUAAGUACCACGGGACUCGAGAAAUCUUGUGGGAAUCCGGCGUGACUAUGCGCUAAGACUAAAUACUCUGCCGCGAUCGAUAGUGAACCAGUACCGUGAGGGAACGGUGAAAAGCAGCCCGGUGAGGGCGAUGAAACAGUAUCUGAAACCAUCUACUUACAAGGAGUCGGAGUCCGCCGCAAGGUGGAUGACGGCGUUCCUAUUGAAGAAUGAGCCAACGAGUUUGUCGUCGUUGCAAGUCUAACCCCGACAGGGGGCAGGCGCAGUGAAAGCAAGGCUUAAUAGGCCGUUCCAGCAGCGGCGACAAGACCCGAAACCAGGCGAGCUAGCCAUGGCCAGGGUGAACCCCGAGUAACAUCGGGGGGAGGCCCGAACCGGUACGCUGUGCAAAACGUUCGGAUGAGUUGUGGCUAGGGAUGAAAUUUCAAUCGAGCUUGGUGAUAGCUGGUUCUCCUCGAAAUAGCUUAAGGGCUAGCCUCGGAUGGUACGCACGGGGGUAGAGCUACUGGAUGGGAGAAGGUGGCGAAAGCCUACUGCUUCCAAUCAAACUCCGAAUACCGUGCCGAAAACGUCCGGGAGUAAGACUGUGGGGGCUAAGCUCCAUUUAGUCUAAAGGGAAACAGCCCAGACCGUAAUCUAAGGUCCCCAAAUUCCUGCUCAGUGUGAAAGGCGGUGAUCCGACUCCGACAGCCAGGAGGUUGGCUUAGAAGCAGCCAUCCUUUAAAGAAAGCGUAACAGCUCACUGGUCAAGUUGGGUUGCGCCGAAAAUGUAACGGGGCUAAGCAGGGUACCGAAGAUACGGACCGACGUUUUCUCCGGAAGACGUCGGUGGUAGAGGAGCGUUCCGAGGGCGGUGAAGUCGGACCCGUGAGGGCCGGCGGAGCGCUCGGAAGUGAGAAUGUUGGCACAAGUAGCAUAACGGCAGGUGAAAACCCUGCCCACCGAAAACCCAAGGGUUCCUGGGCACCGCAAAUCGACCCAGGGUUAGUCGGCCCUAAGGCGAGGCCGAAAGGCGUAGCCGAUGGAUGAGCUGGUUAAUAUUCCAGCACUGCACUACGUUUUCGAUGGGGUGACGCGGUUCGAACGGUUUGGCGUCUAUUGGUAUGGACGUCGCUGGCUGCUGGAUGGCGCGGAGGCAAAUCCCCGCGCGGAAUUCCGGCGGUUGGCGGAAGGGAAAGCUUCGGCCGACCCAACUGAAUCCGACGCGCUGACAAGAAAAACCUCUAGAGUUAAGCGUGGUGCAACCGUACCGUAAACCGACACAGGUAGGUUGGUAGAGCAUACUAAGGUGUACGAGAGAACCUUCGUUAAGGAACUCGGCAAUGUAGCGUUCGUAAGUUCGCAAUAAGGACUGGUCCGAUUCGUCGGACCCGCAGCGAACGAUCUCAAGCGACUGUUUACCAAAAACACAGGUCCCUGCGAAAGCGCAAGCUGAAGUAUAGGGGCUGAUGCCUGGCCAGGGUCAGAACGUUAAGGGGAGAGGUCAUGCUGCCGCAAGGCAGCGGCAGCCUUGAACCGAAGCGCUGAUGAACGCCGGCGGUAACUAUAACCGUCCUAAGGUGGAUAUGCUGCCUUAGUGAGGCGAAAGACCUCCGUUCCGAACUCCCGUUGCCAGGGAGAGGUAGGAAUGAAAAUUUGGCUGUAUCGGUGAACAUCCCGCCAGCGGCGGGACAACACCGAGGCAACCCCAGUUCGAUAUUUCGAAGUUUCGAUAUGUCGAGUGGGAAAGUCCGUAGAGACUAUACGCCAGAUCCGCCCAGGGCGGAAAGAUAUAGUCCGAUCUGCAGGGCGACUUGCAGCGCGCGGCAGAAAUGACCGCGCCCUCUCGCAAGAGAGUGUAACAAACAGAGCGAAAUCCCUUGUCGGGUGAGUUCCGACCCGCACGAAUGGCAUAACGACUUGAGAACUGUCUUAACGAGGGACUCGGCGAAACUGCAAGACCCGUGAAGAUGCGGGUUACCCACGGUAGGACGAAAAGACCCCGUGAAGCUUUACUAUAGCUUGCUACUGGUGUCACGUCGUUCCUGUUCAGCAUAGGUGGGAGAUUCGCCGCAAGGCGAGUCACCAAUGAGAUACCACCCUGGGACGAUGCGACUCCUAACCUACGACCGUGAAUCCGGUCGGGGGACCGUAGCUGGUGGGUAGUUUAACUGGGGCGGUUGCCUCCCAAACAGUAACGGAGGCGUUUACAAAGGUAGGCUAGGUGCGGAUGGAAAUCGCGCCGAUAGGGCAAACCCAAAAGCCUGCUUUACUGCAAGACUGACACGUCGAGCAGUCGCGAAAGCGGAAGUUAGUGAUCCGACCGUACGAUAUAGGACGGCGGAAGCUCAUCGGAUAAAAGCUACUCCGGGGAUAACAGGCUAGUCUGGUCCAAGAGUCCACAUCGACGACCAGGUUCGGCACCUCGAUGUCGGCCCGUCGCAUCCUGGGGGUGGAGAAGCUCCCAAGGGUUUGGCUGUUCGCCAAUUAAAGCGGCACGCGCGCUGGGUUCAGAACGUCGUGAGACAGUUCGGUCUCCUGUCCUUCGUGGGCGUAGAAAUUUGAGGAGUCCCAUCUCUAGUACGAGAGGACCGAGAUGGACGAACCGCUCGUGUACCAGUUGUCCCACCCGGGGCAUCGCUGGGUAGCGACGUUCGGUUUCGAUAAGCGCUGAAAGCAUCUAAGCGCGAAGCGGUCUCCAAGAUUAGAUUUCAUUACAGGCCCCCGCGAGAUGAGCGGGUUGAUAGGCCCAUGGUGGAAGCUCCGCGAGGAGUGAAGCCUACGGGUACUAAUCGGCCGAUGCAUCUUGACCAC